AUAUUACUGCAUAUAUUCUCAUAUAAUUAAAAACUUGUCAAUUGCUAUUCAGAAUAAUACACUAAACAAUUAGAAAAAGAAUGAAGUUUUGGCAAUUGAUAUCGCUUUUGUUGAUAAUAAUUUGUGUGAUUUUUAAUGAAGGUACAAAGAUGUCUAAGGAACCAGAUUUUAAUAAAUUUAAAUUAAAACAAAUUUUGAUGAAUGAUACACAACGAAAGAUGGUAGCUAUAGAAGGUAGUUUUGAAGGUAGUUCAGAACCAGCAGUUGUAGUUAUGGAAAAAUAUGGUUUUGACAAUAUUUCAAUAAUGAAUAUUUGUAAUCCUAGCACUAAACUUGUUAACGAUAUAGAUAAUGAUGUUUACAAAUCAUUCAGUUGUGUUCCACAAUAUAAUGAAAAUGUUUUUUCCAACAAGAUGGAUUUAAUAUAUCCAGCUACUCAAAAACAUAUUUUAAAAUUUUCUACUCAACCAUUGUACCUUGUGCAAGAAACCAGUGAAAUAUAUCAAGAUAUUACACUUCCCUAUAUAUUAGGAAACAGCUUAUCACUACAAUGGGUGUAUAAUUGCUUAGAGUACACAUCAGAAAAAGAAAGAAUAAAGUAUGAUACAGCUUCUGAGAAUGACAAAGAUGAUCACAUAAAUGGAUUUUUACUUAUGCCUGAUAUGAAAUGGUCUGGAAGAUUAGAUGAACUCUACUUAUUAGCUAUUAUUAAAAGAAGAAAUAUUAAAUCUCUGAGAGAUUUAACAGCUGAACAUUUACCUCUACUAAAAAAUAUACUAAAUAAAGGAUUGGCAGCUAUAUAUAAAUUAUAUGGAAUUCACUCUUCUCAGUUACGUAUAUAUAUUCAUUAUCAACCAUCAUUUUACCAUUUCCAUGUACACUUUACAUACUUAAUGCAUAAUCCACCAGGAAUAAAUGCAGAAAAAGCACACCUGCUAACAACUGUCAUCAAUAACAUUGAACUUCAAAACAAUUACUAUCAAAUUUCAACACUAAAUUUUGUUGUGAAAGAAGGUGACUCAUUAUUUAGAACAUUAGAAGAAAAAGGUAUUGUUUCUAAGGCACAAACAAUUGGUUUAAUUCCAGAAUAAUUUGAUGUGGCAAAUUAAAGUAUAUAACAUUCAUACAUAAAUUAAAAUCAUAAAAUACAAUCAUCUAAACUGAAAUACAAAAUUUAUUUCAGGAAGAGAUAAUGCAGUUAAACAGUAAAUUAGUACAGAUUUUUAUUUCAACUAAACUGUGAUAGAAUUAAAUUUUGAAUAUUCAGAAGUAUGGGCUGAUGAUAUUCUCGCCUAUGUUUGCAUUGAUGUAAUUCAGUUCACGUCUUGUAAUUCUUGGAUGUUUGUGAGGUAAAUCAAACGCCAGCAGCCACCAUAGUAAACACCAAGCAAUGCCCAAUGAUCCAUUCAUGUAAAAUACCACUCGCCAUCCAUAAUUACCAAUAAUGAAUCCACAUACCAUGUACGUCAAUCCGAUUCCAAAGCUAAACCCUGUCACCCAGGCAACAGCUCAAUUACCACCUAACCUAGACGCCAGUUACACACAUAUCACAAAUAGACAGGUAGAUAAAUGUACGUGUUUACCCGUUACGACCUCCCUUACUGCAUGUCAACACCAAAUUCAUAACUUGAUCAUUUUCUACUCAAAAUUAAUUUAAUUUUUUUUUUUUAGAUUAAAAUUACAUUUUAUUGAGUGAUAUAUAAAAAAAUAUGUAUAUUUUUCCAGAAUAUGUGAUUAUGAUUCUAUAAGAUUCACACUAUUUUAAAAUAUUCUUACAAAUAUUAAGACGAAACUUUUAUAACAUCGUAUCAUUUUUAAAACAACCUAACCUCAUCUUAAAACAUUCGAUGCCUAGGGAAACAGAAUGUGAAUCUAUAAUUCAAUGACUUAUAAAAAGUAAAAUGUCUAUUCCAAAUUUAAGAGUUAAAAUACGUCAGUAAAUACAAACUAAAAAUAUAUGUGUUGUAAUAUUAGUUUACAUGUCUGCAGAGACUAGAUAUUUAAAAAUAAGAAUAUAUUUUUAUUAAUUCAGAAUUUCAGAUUUAUGGAGCUUAAUUGUAUAUGAAUUUUAAAAUAUAACAUUAACAUACUACAGAGUAAAUAAAGUACAUAGAAAUUUAAAACGCAAGCCUCGUUGUGCCAAAUGACUUAUUACAAACUUCUUCGAUCACAAUUUUUAAAUUGGCGUAUAGCCAGAAAAAUUCUUAACAUUCCUAUAUCCUACUAUUAUCCCUCAAUAUAUAUACAUUUAUAUAUAUGUAUAAAUGAAACUAUUACUUUUCUGGGGUUAGAAUUCUGCUGCAAGAGUGAUUUUAUAAAACAAUCAUUCCAACUUGUACAUUUUCUUAUACUCAGACCCGUAUUAUAAAAUGUGUUACCGGGGAUAACAAAAAUUAAUUUCAGUUUUGCCUUUUGAGAAUUUUUUGGUUUAUCCUGUCUAUUUAGUGAGUAAAAAAAGGGAUUUUUGGCUUAAUUAUUACCGGGGGAAAUUUUGUGUCUAAAUUAAUCUCAAAAUACGGGCCUGUUUAUACUAUCUAUUUAAAUUUUUUUAUUAUAAACAUUUUUAAAUAAAAUAUAAAAUAAUUGUAUACCUUGAAAUGAUGACAUGAAUCUGCUCCGUUCAUUAGAUGGGAUCCAUAUACCAACAAGAGCAUACAUAGCAGGCCAAGUUAAC